AUGGUUUCCAGCUGAAUAAAGUUAGUAGAAAUUCAAAGGAAAGAAUACCACAAAAUAUAUUUAGUUAAUUCUUGCCUAAGGGAUCAUUUUAGAGCUAACCUGUAUACAAAGGAGGAUAAAAUAAGGAACGUUGAAUCAACAGCUGACGGUUAAUAUGUAAUCAAAUAUUUAAAAAGUCACGACCGAACCGCAAAGAUGCCCUAACUACACAAAUACGCGAUGCUGAAUUUGUACACUCCUGAGCGACGCUGCUCCCGACCGGGCACCUGAAAUAACAACGCACGCCCGUGAUCCUGGUGACAGCGUCUUCUCCUCGGGCAGCACGCACAUACAUACACACGUGGGGUCACGGACGGGUCUGUAGACAGAGCCUGAAAGCGCUGAAUCGAGGUGAGAGCCGAGGAGCUACUUCAACAUAAGAAAGCACGUUGCUAAGACGCCGAUGUAGACGUCGGCCACCUGCCCGCCCACCGCUGCCGCAACGCUUGUUUCAGCCCAGGGGUCUCGAGGGUCUUUCUUCUGUAGAAGAGACAUCCCACUUGCAGUGUGAGCACUCUGUCCACCAGCCAAGCUCGAAGGGCCCGGUGGUCCAGGCGGGGGCCCCAGACCAGCUGAAACGGACCCCCAGCAAGUCCUCAGGGGUCCAGGACCAGCUGAGACUGACCCCCAGCAAGUCCUCAGGGGUCUCCAGGACCAGCUGAAACUGACCCCCAGCAAAUCUUCAGGGGUCCAGGACCAGCUGAACACUGACCCCCAGCAAGUCCUCGGGGGUCUCUCUGUUCUCUUCUGGGGGGUUGCUGGGAGGACGGUGUCGCCGGCAGUGGGGGCCGUGGGAGGUGGCCCCUCGGAGGCUCAGGGUGGGGUGGGGGGCUCAGGUGUUUCCACGGACACGACUGGCUGCAUCUCAGUGGACGUUCUGGUCUGUCUAAGGGCCUUCGGGGUCUGUAGCUCGGGGGGCCGACCCUGGCCCCUGCAGGUGGGCGGCCCCGGGGCCAGCGCCUGCCCAGGCCCCAGCAGGACUCACAGGCCCUCGGACGCUGCUCUGACGGCCGAGGGACAGAUGAGCUGGGUGACGGGCCCCUCUGCUCAGCAGGCCCUGAGGGAAAGCGCCUGGGAGCAGCACUAGGAAUGGCCUUUCACGGCUCUGAGAGUCAGUGGCCACCGGGUCUGUGGGUUCUGGCCAGGCUGGGGGGUCUGGAGCAGCCGUGCCCAACCCCAGUGAGAUCUGGGCCUCUGACGCCACUCGGGGUCACUGCGGAGGCCUGUACUUGUCGCUGGCCCUGAGGAUGGUUGGCCUAAAAGACAGCUCAAAGGACCUCUGGUCACUGAAGCUCUGGGCUCGGUACUUGGCCAGCUGCGGCCCGCGCCUGCCACGCCCCACCCCGGGGGCAUCUGGGGGCCCCUCCUGGGCAGGGCCACGGGGCACAAGGCUGCUCCCCAGCUUGGGUGUGGGCACUGCAGAGCCUGGCACUGGCUGGAAGCUGGGGGCCGCUGGACUCCGCCCCUUCUGGAUGCUGGAGGGUGCCUGGAUCUCCCCCUCCUGGGGGCUGGGGGC
rnacentral:lncRNA from 1 species